ACUCCUGCGGGAGGCAGCAGUGGGGAAUUUUGGACAAUGGGCGAAAGCCUGAUCCAGCAAUGCCGCGUGCAGGAUGAAGGCCUUCGGGUUGUAAACUGCUUUUGUACGGAACGAAAAAGAUCCUUCUAAUACAGGGGGCCCAUGACGGUACCGUAAGAAUAAGCACCGGCUAACUACGUGCCAGCAGCCGCGGUAAUACGUAGGGUGCGAGCGUUAAUCGGAAUUACUGGGCGUAAAGCGUGCGCAGGCGGUUAUGUAAGACAGAUGUGAAAUCCCCGGGCUCAACCUGGGAACUGCAUUUGUGACUGCAUGGCUAGAGUACGGUAGAGGGGGAUGGAAUUCCGCGUGUAGCAGUGAAAUGCGUAGAUAUGCGGAGGAACACCGAUGGCGAAGGCAAUCCCCUGGACCUGUACUGACGCUCAUGCACGAAAGCGUGGGGAGCAAACAGGAUUAGAAACCCUGGUAGUCCC
rnacentral:rRNA from 1 species